AUCAAGCUCGCCAGGCUCCGGUGGGCUGGCCAUGUUGUACGCAUGGAAACGGACGAUCCAGCCUGGGAAAUCUUUUUAGGCCGUUUUAGGCCGGACAGAGGAGGCGUGGUAGGCCCAAAUUGAGGUGGCAAGAGGCGUGGAGGCGUCCGCCAUUAAGGGCGGAAUAACGGACUGGAAGACGAAGGCGCGAGACCGUGAGCAGUUUCGAACACUCAUGAGGCAGGUCAAGACCGCAAAGCGGUUGUAGCGCCGGAUAAGUAAGCAAGUAAGUAAAUUAACAAGCAUUUUGGAACGGCCCGGUACUUGACUGCAUCGGUAAGCGUAAGGCAAUAAAAUGUCUCAGCGUAGGUCCGUACAGCAUGACAAGAAAAUAGGAAACAGACUGCAUAAUGCAACAUGCAUAUGCGUAGCAAUAAUUGAAUCCUGUAAGAUAACAACGUAAGACCCGUAGGUCAUAAAAUCUUAAGUAUGUUUUUAAACGUUUUAGAAACACGAAGGAUUGCAAGACAAACAUAAAAGGCAAAACAUAAGGAUACAUAGAGAACCAUAAAAUCCUAAAACAGACCAAUGGGAAGAAAUACAAAAUAGACAUAGAUUAAUCAUAUACACCUACACAUCGACACAAGAUGUACAAACACAACCAAAAAACACAAAUAGUUCAAGAAUAUAAACUAGAGUUUUCGUGAAAUAAACAUAGAUUUAAUUAGACAGUACAUGAGACUACACGUCCUUAUUCAUGAGCUGGGAGUUUCCCCCUUCCCAAAGUAAGGCCUCUUAGCUCCUAUGUGAGAAUUCAAACGAUAAAUUAAUCUAAAUGUUACAGAAGCUUUUUCUGGAUAUUAUUUUGCUGCAUAAGUGUGUAUUAUGUUAAGUCUAUUAGUGGCUAUAUUUGUAUGUACUCUAUAUGUUUGUUAAAUCUUAGUUGGUUGUGUAUAAUAGACCCAAGGUAUUUACAUGAGUUAUUUUUUUUUUUCUUUUGGAGAGUUUCUAUUAUUGAGGUUUAUGCUAUUGGUUCCUUUUCCAAAUGCCAUAUAUUUUGUUUUUACAAUAUUUAUAAGAAGGUUUAGAGAUUAUGUUUGGUUUGUAAAAGUGUUAAAAGAUGGUUGUCGGUUAUUUUGGAGUUCUUGUUAAUUUCUUCAAUUACCUAUGGUCACGAUAUCAUCUGCAUAUUGGACAAAUUGGAUAUUUUAUAUUUUUUUUGGUGAAUAUAAAUGUUGAUGAGGAUGGGAGACAUUACAUCUCCAUGCGGUAAUGCAUCAGUGACUAGCAAUUUUAUAUUUUGUUGCUUUCUAGUUCUAGUGUUCCGUUUUUCCGAAAUGGGAUUAUCCAAGCUGUUUUAUGUUUUUAUAUGAGUUUUUGUGCCAGUAUUUUUGUUUUACAGGCAGUCCCCGAAAUACACGGUACCUCUUAUACGUGGAUUCGGAGGUACGCGGUUUCCUAAAUUUGGCAGAUUAUUUGAGCAAAUUAUACUGAUUUGACACAACCAUUGUCAAUUGCCAAAUAAUAUCCCAUCUGAUCGAAUAUCAAAAAACAUUUUAAAUGGUGUAAAAUUGUUCAAUUCAGUCAGAAUCAUAUCAAAUAAUUAAUUUAGAGCCUAAAACCACUUGCAAAAUUAUACGAAGAUUAUUGAUAUUUUAACUGGAAAUUACGAGAUUCGAUUUACGCGGAAAUUCCCCAUUAACCAUGUAUCUCGGGGACCGCCUGUACUCCUUUACUCGCAUUUUCGAGAUUAACAAAUACUUGUUGUACCGUUGUACCGUCCGUUGACGACAAGUAAGCACGUGUAAAAUGAACGAGAAUCGCACCGUUCGAACAGUUUGGUAAAGAGCACUAACGAACGAGAUUCUUAAAAAAAGAACGACCAGCCCAGCUAGCAAAGCUGAAGGCCUUUGUAUCGGAGCCAUCGCGCUCAUCAAGGCUCAUUCUAAAACAGCCGAAGUCAUACAAAAUCAUGAAAAAGUCUGCGCCCUUUUACUCCGGCUUCCUCCCGAAGUUAACCGAGCCGAACCGAAUAGUUGUGUUCGAUAAACAUUCCCAACCAGCAAAACCGAAGCUAUUGGAAAACUUUCCUGUGUGCCAAAGGGAGAGAGCAUGUCUUCUUUCUCUAGAUUUUGGACGACACAACGCCAAUCGUGUAGCCAGACAAACAAUUAUGAACGAAAAACGGGAGAAGGGGAAACCAAUAUCCUUCGAGUGACACACACACAUGCAUCUGCAUGCGGAUUCCGCUGAACCGAGACUACCCAUCUCUCUCGAUCUCACAUGAUGUUUGUGCUAUCGCGCUCAUCCGGGUGUUAGGCAUCCUCAGUCUGUCCAGAACUUUCACUGUGGAAGGAUGUGUUGGAGUGAUGUGUGAUUUUUUGUGCCCCGUACUUUGCUCGUCUACGUUUUAAGUAUGUUAUAGUGCACGCGCAUGUUAAUCGACGGUUGCCAACAUCCUGCAAAACCAUCGACGGAAGGUAAACGUUGUCCGGUUUUAAAAUAUCAAGGGUUCAUCACAGCUCUUUCGUAGAAGAGCGCACUUCAAGGACGCCUAGGAUACGGCUAAACAUACGCAGCACCAGCCCGUGACGUCAUUUCCAGAUAGGCGCCGGCUGAACACGCGCAGCACCAGUCGGGGAUGUCCUAGCGAGAAGGGCAGAAGGAGGAACGAGAGGAAGGGUAACGGAAGGUUACCGCUACAAUUGUAGGGGGUGAAGCAUCCAGUCGUGUAUAGAGUGUGAGUGUGCCAAAACGCAUGUGGAAAGAGGAAGUCCAAUAAAUAGCAUGCGAAAGUGUGCAUAAAGCAAAAAGAAAAAGCGUCACUACUACAACCAGCAAUCCGAAAAUAUAAGGGGAGAGAUAAAUACAAAUGUAUGCGUGAGCAGGACCAGCAAUCCAAGCAUUUGAAUGUGUGCGUGCAGGUCGGUUUGUGCCGUGCUGAAUGUUUUUACUUUAGCUGCUGCUAGUGUAAAAACUUACCCAAGGACGCAAAAACCGACGGCGGCCUGUGUAAUCUGAGCUCCCUACAAAGCUCUCCACAAAGCUGUCGUUUGCACUCUUGUCGAGAGCUUCGCCACAGGCGCCCGAACCAUCCGUCAC